UGAGGCAGGAGAAUUGCUUGAACCCAGGAGGUGGAGGCUUCAGUGAGCCGAGAUCCCGCCACUGCACUCCAGCCUGGAUGACAGAGCGAGACUC
rnacentral:miRNA from 1 species